GACGAACGCUGGCGGCGUGCCUAAUACAUGCAAGUAGGACGCAGAUGCGAACGGGUGAGUAACGCGACGGUAACUCCCUGUUAGAGGGGGGUAACAAAUGGAAACGAUAGCUAAUACCGCAUACUAGUCGGUGGACCGGCGUUGUAUUAGCUAGUAGGUGGGGUAAUGGCCUGCCUAGGCAACGCUACAUAGCCGAUCUGGGAGUGUGAUCGGCCACAUUGGGACUGAGACACGGCCCAGACUCCUACGGGAGGCAGCAGUGGGGAAUCUGCGGCAAUGGGGGGAAGCCUGACCGAGCAACGCCGCGUGAGUGAAGACGGUUUUCGGGUCGUAAAGCUCUGUUAUUAAGGAAGCGGUACUUAACCAGAAAGGGACGGCUAACUACGUGCCAGCAGCCGCGGUAAUUC
rnacentral:rRNA from 1 species